AGAAGUAUUGCUUAAGUCUUACUUCAGAAGAGCAGAUGGUGUUUUGCUGCUGUAUGAUGUUACAUGUGAGAAAAGCUUUCUCAACGUACGAGAAUGGGAAGGUACGGUUGAGGCUGCAGCCCAUGAGAGCACUCCUGUCGUGUUGGUAGGAAACAAGGGUGAUCUUCAUGACGCUGCUAAAGCAGAGGGACAAAAACAUGUCCCAGGGUACCUUGGAGAAAAUGGGAAGUGAAGAAAAGAACUGGUGAGGAGGACAGCAAAUCCAUUUCCAGUCUGAGUGGGACCAGUUCCAAAAAGUCAGCCCAGAUGAAUUGUUGCAAUGGUUAAAUCCCAAACAUUCUUGGCCCAUGAGGCUUCAUUUCCAGAGUACUGAAUGAAAUCAAGAUUAUUAUCAACAUUUGAUUUCGUGAAGGUGUUCUCAAAUUUAAAGAAUAUUUUUGGUAAGAAAAAGGUAUCUAAUUUUUUUUAACAGAUUUAAUUUGAUACAUUUGCGUAGUUCUGUGCAAGUAACUCAUCUUGGCUCAAUUUUUCCUUUGAGAGCUUUUAAAACCAGUUAUGCUACACUCUUUUUUAUGUAUCCUGACACACUGGAUAAUAUUUUAGUUUCAUCAUGGAAAAGAAAGUUGGAUGUGGAGACAUCUUUCACUGCUAACUUUAGCCUCAUGCAUUUUCAUAAUUUAUUUUUCUACUUGCUGCUUUAUAUGACAUAUGUGACAUUUGAUUAUUUAAUACUAAAUGUGAUUUGCAUAAAGCCAAACUGCACAAUCCUCUUGCUGAAGAUAAAAUCGAGGUUAAAGAUAAAGAUUUAUUUUCAUAUUUGUACAGUGAAUGGCUUCAGAGUGAUGGUCUUUGUGGGCUUUUAUAGUAUAUGUGUGUAAGAAAUUUCAUAUGUAUAUAUUAAGUAGGCCUCUGAGUAUUGAAUAAUGAUUUUAUGAUUUUGAUUUACAUGGUAUACAUUUUCAUAGUAUCAGCUCUAUUUCGCUUAUACUGUUUAUUUCUCUUCAAACCAUUAAUAAUUAUCCCAUAAAGUAUAAUUUUUAUAGCAAUACAAGUGUCUAAGGAGCUACAGAUAUUUCCUGCAUUGUAAUUCAAUGAAGCACGCUUUCUUUGGCUUUCUGGAUGUUCCCUUCAGCUUUGCUGCAGGUAUCCCUGAAGUAGUUUUAGUUCUAGGAUGUGUCUACAUGAAACUGUGCAGUUGGCAGCUGGCUGGGGGGAGAAAAGAAUGAACACGUGGUGUGCGGUCUGUGGCACAGCCUUGUCAUCUCGGCCAGUUGACCAGCUUGGGGUGUCAUGGCCAGGAAUAGUGAGGCUUUCAUAGGAUGCGCUCUGGCCAGCCUUAUGACCUCAGAGAUUAGUUCCUUUCUCUGACCCGCCCCCCACCCCCCACCCCAUACACAUCUAGCUAACUCCUGCUCAUCCUUCUGCCUUAGCUUAAGCAUCACUUCCUUCAGGAAGUUUCCCCUCUCGACUUCAAACCAGGAUGAGGCUGUCUGCUCUCACUUAUGUAGCAUCCUUUCUAACUGGUCAGCAUUCUUAUUGCCCUCGUACUUGUUCAACUAGACAUAUGCCCUGAGCUUUAUCCCUAUUGUCUGCUGCUGCUUCAAAGAAUUAACUAAGGCAGGAUUUGUGGAAUUUCUGCAGGCACACAUUGACAGAGAUACACACAUACACAAUGGUCAAGGACAGUAUAAAUAAGAGGUAGCAUGUAUUAGUGGCCACUGGUCUGAGCUCUGCAGCCAGCCUGCCUGGUUUGAACCUGGCCUCAUGUAUCUACUAGUAGGUAACUGUGAGCAAGGGGUGUAACCCAGCUUCUUCAUUGGUAAAAUAGGGGUGAUAACAGCACCUUCCUCGUGGAGUUGUUAUGAGCACUAAAUGAGUUACUAUAUGGAAAAGGCUUGGAAUAGUACCUGGCACUUUGAUCACUCAAUUAAAAAUGAAAAAGUUUUGAGGCACAAUUGAUUGCAUUGGUCUUGUUCAGGACCCUGGAUACUACCAUCAGUGUGUGAUAAAAUGCCCAAAAUUUACCAGAUUACCUGGGGGAUGGGGCAUUGUAGAGGAUUCACUUUGACAUAAGUUCACUGACCUCCCACAUUUCUUGGUAUUUCGAUGGAUACAUAGUUGGGGUAUCAUAUAGGAUAGAAUAUUGUGUAGAGUGGAUUAAAAGACAAGGAAAUCAUUGAGAAAAAAAUGAGGGCCUGGAAGUUAGAAUGGAAAGUUGUGAAUGGAGUCUUUAUAAGUGUAAGAUCUCCAUUUAUUAAGGGCUGAUUAGAUGAAGUAGUUGAAGGGGUUAAGAAAAUACCAGAGCUCUGUCUGGGAUUUUUGAAUCUAAAUGACAGUAAAAGUGGUGGUGGCUAUUUCUAACUGAAUUGAAACUAACCUUUAUAGUAGGACAAGUAACCUGUUGACAAGGAUCUCCAGUGAAUAUAUGCAAAAAUCCUCAAGAUGGGAAUGAAUCCCCAGCAAAGCAUAUUGUUUUGCAAGCCUUAAAAUAAAAAUAACAUCUCUUCUUUCCAGAUCUAGACAUUAAGAUAUGUCUUCAUAGAUGAAAAUGGAAAAUAGGCACAAAUGCUUCAACUUGAAAUUACAGGGUACAACCCACAAAGACAGAAGACAAUAGCAACAAAAUUAUGAAACUGGAGAGCAGAUGAAAAAUUUGGAAAUGAGUUAACAACCUAAGAAAGCUGAAUCCUAAGCCAGUAGUGGGGGAAAGAUGAGAGGAAUCUAGAGUUACACUGAAGAUUUUCCAGAAGGCUCAGGAAUUGGUGGAAGCAGAGAUUGAAAGACUUUUCCCUGGAGUACUGACCAGCUAAGAGGACCUGUGUGAUUUUGUUGAGAUGACCUGAAUAAUCCAGGACACCCGCUGCAUCUCAAGAUUGUUAAUCACACCUGCAGAGAUGUGAUCCUUUUGCCAAUAAGGUGAAGGAACACGGCACCAAGAGGAUAAGUGAUGUGCCCCGGGUCACACGUUGGGUCAGUGGCAAAGUGGGUAACAGUCAAGCCCGGGUUGGAGGGUUUUAUCUCAGAUUUGUUCUGUUCCUCUUCAUUAAAAACAAGUUCAGAAAGAUCCAGGACACUUACAGAUUCUGGUAUUUGGGGAUUUCAAGGGUUCGAUAUUUUGUAGUCAAAAAAAAAAGAAACAAAAUUAUAAAGUUAGAAAAGCAAAUAUAACAGGGAUAUUAAUAGAAUAAUUAACUCUUCACCAUUGAGCCUAGAUUUGCAUAUUUGUGAAGUACGGAGUACUUACAAAAUGCCUGUGUUUAAACAAUCUAUUUCCCUUCUAUGAGAAAAAUACUCUUCAUCUGCUUUGUCUUUUAUAAAAAUGUGCACAUGUCCUAUAGAAAGGUUUUAAAUUUGCCUAUCUCAGACUUGCAUGAUCUAGCAAUGAAUUUGUUUUUAGUAGAUCAUUCUAUGCAUAAGAAUAUUUCAAUUAUGUUUUUUGAAAUCUAAAUCAAUCCUCUAUUAAUUUGAUGGGAAAGAGUCAAAUAAGGUGAAACACAUUAUUCAGACUCUCCUGAGACCCUCACACCCACUGGGACUCUUAAUUCAUCAAGUACACUUGUGAGAAUUCACAAACAGUUUUUUUUUUUCCAUUUUAGGUCUUUGGGGGGGAACUUGUUUAUACAUGCAAGUAACUUUAGUCAUAUGCUUCCUUAUGAAACACACACAUUGUUCAUUCGUGGAAAGCACUGAAGCUCCUGCCUCCCACGACAAGGGCAGAAAUUUGGUGAUCAGAGAAUGGAGUGAACUGGGUACCAGUCAGCAUCUUAGUUGCCUCCAGGAGUCAAUAUGGGUUUCUGUCAAGUGACAACUGACCCAGGAAAGCAGCAACAGCACUUUUAGGAUAACGUGGCUGGGGGAGUUAUCUGGGCUUUGGGUUAGAGUUGGCCUUACAAAAGCAGUAUUAUGAGUUGCUUCCUAGGUUGAGUGCGGGUAGAGAGGGCAGUCUUCAGAUACACAGGCCCAGGUGACCUCCAGAACGUGAUGACUUAUAAUGGAGACCACCUGCAUUUGCAGUUAGAGGAACCACUGCCCCCAACCCAGUAAUGUUGGUGUAGAGAGAUGAGCAGAGCUAAUCGCACCCUUCCUCCCACAAAGUAUACGUUCUUCCUUCCAGACUAAGUCUGCAGAAACCUCCAUGAGUACCAGCCGAAUCCAAAGACAGUUCUAUACAGAGGACAUGGAAUGGGCUCUGUCAUUCCGGGGGUGGACAGCAAGGGGGCUAGUUUGGUGUGUCCUGAGGGAGGGCUGGUGACACCUCGAGGAAGGCUAAAAGAGGGUACUGCAGGAGAAGCUGGGAAAGAAUCUGGGGAGAUGGGGAAAGUCAGACAUAAGAAGCACAUUCUAGGAGUGUGUGGGGUUGGGGAAUGAGUCGUCCCCUCCAUAGAUCUUUUGUCAAGGGCUAUGAUGGAGGAGGGCUCUAGGCAGAGAAACUAGCAUGAAACAUACUAGUUGAGGUGUGACAGUGGCAUGUUGUAACUAGAAAGAUGGUGGAAAGUGUGGGCUAAUGACUCUAGAAAGGGGAAUUGAGACAGAUCGUGAAACUUGUAUGAUUUUUCCUUCCUGAAAAAUUGAUCAUAAUAAGCGUUAGCUAGAAACAUUUCGAGUGACUCAUUUGCCUUUUGGCCAGUAUUACUUAUGACCUUAUUACUAAAAAUAUAUGAUCAAAUCAUAGAGAGGUGGACACAGUUUUCUUUUGGUGAGCAUCAUUUAGCUAGAAUAAUAUUCUUUGCAUAGCAUUGUCUGUAAAUCUUUUUGUGCUAGUUAUCUACAUUCACUGGAGAGCAGUAGUUUAGAGAUGAUCCAUUUUGCAGGUGAUUAAAUGGAGAGCCAGAGGGGCUGGGGCAUUUCCAAAGCUACAGAGAAAAUCAAUGGUGAAGCUACGACAGGAAUCAAGACUCCUCAGACCCAGGCUGAUAUCAUUUUCCAUUGAACUGUACUAUCUAGUACUACUUUAGCUAGAAUACUUUCCCUGGCAAAUAUUUCUCUCCCUCCCCACUCCCUUCACAAACCUGGAAAGGAAAGAUAGGUCGGUUGAGUGACAGGGUCACCUGGAACUAACACAAAAAGAAUGGAUAAUUUCUUCGCCUGCAUCAUUCUCAGUAGGAUGUAUUUCCUCUCUCUCUCUUUCACUCACGCCCACCUCCUCCACAUGUUCCAGCCCCACAAGUCAACGCUCUCCAUUUUAUAGGGCUGUAUUGAGUCCAGCUUAAUAGUGUAUCUUGCAAAAUAUCUAUAUUAGAUUUAUUUUAUCCUUCAGAGGAGAAAUAAUCACAGAAAACAAGAGUAUUUCUUUCAUUUAGGUCAUAGCUUGUCACAUCUAGCCCAAGAAGCACUAGCUGAAAUUAUUUGUUACAUCUCAUCUGGGUGCUGCAAAAAAAUUAGACAUUGUUUUGAAACAUCAUCGCGUUAGAUCUCUUCUUGGUGGAGAGUUUUCAUUAAUUUAUGCAAUUGUCAAGCUGCUUCAUGUUUAAGUAUAUACUCUGUAGAAUGAAUUCUUUUCUGGGCAUCACGAGAGUGCAGAAUUUAGAAACAAUGUAGCAACAGAGAGGAUUUGCCCUUCUAUUUAUUUUCUCUCUUUUGGGAGAAUUUGUUAUUUUAAAAAGGAAGCCUGCAGUGCAAUCUGUUUCAUUCUGCUCUGAUGGUAACCUUCCCUUGUACAACAUAUCAAUUUUGAAUGAUACGGAUUCCUUCUCCCCAUAAACACACAAACCUAUCAAGCUCCGAGAUGGCUGACAAAGCUUUAACUUUACUGAAUGUGAUGCUAUAAUUAAGGAAAUGUGGACUGUGGAGGUAAUCAUUAGUUCUUCUGUAUGAACAUCUAGCCCAGGAUUUUGCCGCCUACUAUGUUUCCUUGUUAAUGACAAUGUUGGGAGGCUUCCAUGUAAUUGAAAUUGCCCCCUUUGAAGAAUUGAUGUGUGAAGUGAUCAUGUAAUCUCAUAAUGAGCUAGCAAUGGAGAGAUGAAGAGAAUUUAUAUACUGGCACAAAGUGGAAAUAACCAGUCGUACAGUAAAUUUCUGUAUGAAUCUGUAAGUUUGUGCAGUAGAAUUAAAGUAGGUAUUACCCACUGCUGCAUAAAUUUAAAAAAUGCUUCUAGGCUAUUUUAGGUAGAUCAUAAAUGAGUUCCAAUCAUAUUCCAUGGAUUCAGCCAUUCGGGGUGGAGGACCAUAUAUGUCUUAUGUGGGGUUGGGUUGUGAAGUGUAUUGCUCAGCUAUUUCUGUGACAGUGUUGCAUUCCAAGCGUCCCACCAAACUUGCUCAGGGGUCUGUGGGCCUGAUGCACUUUGGCGAGGCUGGACUCUGGGUUCCAGGCUACGGGCUGUGGUUUGGGUUGCGUUUGGGUUUGCUCCACGAGUUUCUCAUCCGCUUGGACCAGUAGCCAUCCAGAGUCUGCUCUUCAUAUAGCAAAUGGCAGGACUGCAAGAGAGCAAAUUGAAACCCGCGACCCGGCUGGAGUUCUCAGCCCUGAAAUCUCACACUGUCUCUUACACCUAUGGUUCAUUGGCAAGUUGCAGGGCCAAGCUCAACAUGAACACAGAGGGCAGGAGUUCUAGGUCACAUGGCAAAGGCAUGAAUGCAUAGAAUUAUAAUAUAUAUAAUAAUUGCAAAUAGUGAUUGAAGCCACAGCAAGGCCAAUAAUCUCCAUUCCUACAAAUUCCCCAGCUGGUUCUUAUGACCCCCAUCCUUGAGAACUAUUGGAUAUAUUUUGUUUAUUUUUGUAGUCUCCUUACUCACAGUUUCUCUAAUCAGCAAUAAAUGUCAAAUUGUUAAUACUGAAUUCACUUCGAAUGAGGAUCACGUGCUGUGAGGGGAGUAUUUGCUCCCUGAAGGGUCUUGUCUGUUUCUUGGGGAUUUGUUUCAGGAUACAUAUAAUUAGGGCCAAAGAAAUGUUUAAAUUUUGUCUCAUUUAAUCGCUAAGUACCUUUUAGAAAAUGUGGAAAACUCUGUCGUAGAAGCGUCCAUGUCAUCCGUAAACCCCCUCUGUCUUGGGGAGGAAAGAGAGCUGCCACCUCCUCCACCAGCAUCCUAUACCCCCUUCUCCUCCUGGAUGUCUGGCCAGUUCCGCGCAUGGGAAGAAAGGCUACACCUGCUUAGCCCAGGUUAUGUCCGAACUGCUCUCAACCUUAGAUAUGUAUGGGUAUAGAGUUGUGUUCAGUUCUCCAGGAAAGAAUUUAAGUAUAGGAUGCAUUUACUAUCAAAUUCACACAUGAGAAUGUAUAGUGCCUUUGCCUGAAAGGGCACUUAGAAGUUCAUAUUCUUUUUUUUUUAAUUUAUAUUUUAUUUUUUUUGGCUGCAUUGGGUCUUCGUUGCUGC